GUAUCGCCAAUGAAAGCUGCUG
rnacentral:misc_RNA from 1 species